AUCGGAGCUGUUGGUGACACUCCUGAAUGAAGCCAAAGUCUAUUUUAUUCCGAUGCAGGCAGUUUUUAAGGUCGAUUUGACGACUAGUAUCAACUAGAGAUCGUACAUUGCGCAAAAAUUCGAUUUUGGCCUCUGUCUUCGGCAUAUCUGAAUACUCAGAUAAAAAUAUGUUGAUCUCUUGCUCCAGAGUCAACUCUUCAGGUUCCAGAAAUAGAGAAGCUAAUUUCAAGAAUUGGUCAAUGACAGGUGGUCUCUGUUGCUGAACAGUGUUUUGUGCAGGACGUGAAUUAAAAAGGUUGGAAAAUGUGUGGCCAGGAGUUAUCGCAGACAAGCCUACCGCCCUAGUGACAUUUUUCCUAGCAAGAGAUUUCUCCUCAAUUGCCUUGGCUACUCUUUGCUGACGGGCCGCAACAUGUUUCUUAUACGUUGGACAUCCCCGCCAGUUCGCCGGGUGCCCCACCUCACCACAAUUGGUACAAUAGGGAUCUGACGAAUCCUCCUUAGUACGUUGACACUCUCCAGCGUUGACAACACCGGCAUUGUAUUUCAGAAUCUUUUCUCCUCGGCUUUUCCCAGAAGACAAUUUGACCUAAUACCAGAGAUAUCGCAAAGGCCCUUACCAGGAAAUAAGGAUACCAAGAAAA
rnacentral:sRNA from 1 species